rnacentral:rRNA from 1 species
UACAGAGGGGGCAAGCGUUGUUCGGAAUUACUGGGCGUAAAGGGCGCGUAGGCGGUUCGAUAAGUCGGGUGUGAAAGCCCACGGCUCAACCGUGGAGGGUCAUUGGAAACUGGGGGACUUGAGUACAGAAGAGAAGAGUGGAAUUCCACGUGUAGCGGUGAAAUGCGUAGAGAUGUGGAGGAACACCAGUGGCGAAGGCGACUCUUUGGUCUGUAACUGACGCUGAGGCGCGAAAGCGUGGGGAGCAAACAGG